rnacentral:rRNA from 1 species
GACGAACGCUGGCGGCGUGCCUAAUACAUGCAAGUCGAGCGGACCAAAGGGAGCUUGCUCCUGGAGGUUAGCGGCGAACGGGUGAGUAACACGUGGGCAACCUGCCUGUAAGACUGGGAUAACAUCGAGAAAUCGGUGCUAAUACCGGAUAAUAAAAAGAACUGCAUGGUUCUUUUUGAAAGAUGGUUUCGGCUAUCACUUACAGAUGGGCCCGCGGCGCAUUAGCUAGUUGGUGGGGUAACGGCUCACCAAGGCGACGAUGCGUAGCCGACCUGACGAGGGUGAUCGGCCACACUGGGACUGAGACACGGCCCAGACUCCUACGGGAGGCAGCAGUAGGGAAUCUUACCGCAAUGGACGAAAGUCUGACGGAGCAACGCCGCGUGAGUGAUGAAGGUUUUCGGAUCGUAAAACUCUGUUGUUAGGGAAGAACAAGUGCCGUUCGAAAGGCGGCACCUUGACGGUACCUAACGAGAAAGCCACGGCUAACUACGUGCCAGCAGCCGCGGUAAUGUA